UGGUUCUGGCAUCGAUGAAGAACGCAGCGAAAUGCGAUAAGUAAUGCGAAUUGCAGAAUUCCGUGAGUCAUCGAAUCUUUGAACGCACAUUGCGCCCUUUGGUAUUCCGAAGGGCAUGCCUGUUCGAGCGUCAUUAUCAACCCUCAAGCUAUGCUUGUUGUUGGAUUGGAGAGGGUUUUUCCCCUCCGUCCCAAAGACAAUGACGGCGUUUUAGGGACCCUCGGUACAAUGAGCUUUCACGAGCACGUACCGCAGUCGACCCUCGAACCCGGUCUUCUCUAUAUUUUCUAGGUUGACCUCGGAUCAGGUAGGAUUACCCGCUGA
rnacentral:misc_RNA from 1 species